rnacentral:lncRNA from 1 species
UAAAAAAUAUCAUUUGAAGUUGUGAAGUUUCUAUGAACAUGGAUGGGAGCCCCAAGAAUUAAAUUUUUACUGAUUUCUGUUAUUCAGUCUAAGAGUGUCCGUUCUUAUGCCUUGUAUGGUAGUUAUAUCAAAAGUGCCUAGAAGACGGAAAACAAAUUUAGAUGUGAAGACGGAAAACAAAUUUGACAAGCUCGUCGUAACUCUACGGGGGAACAUUAGAAGAAAAAGACUUUUGGUUCGUUGAGAACGAAAACCUUUCACUGAGAGAACCAUUUGUAUAUUCUACCGGGAAGACAACAAACAUUAAAAGACAAGCCCUUUUGGUUGGCUAGUUUUCCUUUCAUUACCAAAAUAAUUUACAUAUUUCAUCUCUUUAUAUUGAGAUAUAUGUAUUUGUAGUCUGCUAAGUAAUCGAUCAGAAUUCUCUGGAAAAUAAUAAAAAUAAAAAUAAAAUCCCAACCAACACGUGUAGCAAAAAUGCUUUUAAAAUUUUCAUAAUACAUGGGACCCCAGUGGGCUUCUGUCGAUGUGGAAUCGAAUGACCAUUGAUAUACGUAAAAAAAUACCCUUCUAAAUAGAGCCCACUGAAAGACAAAACCACUCACCAAAGGGAGUAAUGCAAGAGAAAAAAAAUCUCUAUCAGAAAAACAUAUGCACAACAAAAGAUAAAAAAACAAUCCUACCAAAAGCCGCUUCUUCCAAAUUUAAGCAAAAAAAUUUAUAAAGAAAAGGCAUUAUAACAGUUUUGUAACUUAAUUCUUUGAAGGAAAAAAAAAGAAAAAAAGAAAAAGAUCACUGUUAUCGUUCAUUUCCGUCCUUUUAUUUCCUUCACCUUAUUCAUUGAAUAGAACAUGCACACCAUCCAUCCAUCUUGACGAGGGGGUGUCCCAUUCACUUGAUUGCAUUGUUUUCCCCCUCCCACAGCUCCCACAAGAAUAGAACACAAAAAAAAAGUAACAAAGCAAAUAAAGAAAAUCAUCUUCCUUCUCUAUUAUUUCUAUAAUUAAUGUUUUAUAAAAUAGACAAGGAUCCAUAUGCCAAACAGAUAGAUAUUCAGAAAACGAGCACACUCAUGUAGAGAGGGGAAUAAAAAAAUUCCGAAGAUGUGGAAUCAGGGCAAUUUGUUAUGGAGAAAGCAUGCAUAAUCAAUCAAGCAGGUCAAUUUAUAGCCGAUGAUAAUAUAAAGAGUGGUGCACGGAAUGAAUCAAAGUCUCCCUGGGCCCAUUGAGCUAGGCCACUUAUGGGUCAGAGCCUGGUUUGAGUCUUUUGGGCGGGUAACUAUAUGAGUUCAGACUAUGUUCGCUGAGCUUGACUCAAAUCAACCCAGAGCAGAAAUAAAGUCACCCCUAAUUCCAAGGUUAUCUCAAUCAGGCCUUGCUCAACUAUAGGUCCUUCCUUGUCCACGAUCAUUGUCCAUCAAGUAGCACCUUAAGCAUUCAUUUCCUACCCUUUCCCUGAGUUCAUUUCCUUGUCGAUAGCUCCUUGAUCAAACAUGACCAUGAGUGGGACAAUUCCAUGGAGGAUGAGUCAUUGCCAUAGCUGGCGAUGGUCACAGAGGGUCACAAACUUCUCAAGAUGUCUAAAAGAGCAUCCGAUAAAGAGCCUAGGCAGCAAGGCGGGUGCCCAUGUGGUGAUGUCGCAGCCAACUUGAAGCUUUCUCUUCUUUUUUUUUUCUUUUUUGUCCCCUCCUCCUCUUUAUGAUGAUUGAUUACUGGCUCUUCUUCUUUCCUUUUUCACUUAUUUUGCAAAAGAAAAAGGAAUAACAAUGGAGAAACCUAGACGAAAAGUGGAUGAAACCAUUGUCUCAUACACAUACCCCCUCCUCCUAUACCAGAUGCAUAAUACCUUAAGAGUCUACUAUUAUUUGCCCUCAGAGAAGUAUUCCAUUAGUAUUAACAGAAUCACACCUUGUCCUGUGUGUACAUGGCAUGUGAGGGCACAGAAAACCAUAAACGCUCUUCUCAAGAGCCAACACACCUUAUUCUUAAGCCAAGCCUGUGAAUCAAGGUGAGAUAAGAGAGUUUGAGGAAUUUUUAUAUAUUUGGAACAGUGGAUCUAACUAUGACAUGCAAGAACUAAGCUAGGAAGCUGAAUGACUAGCAAUUUUACCUAAAGAGGAUAAUGUUAGUAUAAACAAAAGAAAAAAUGCCAUCCAUCAAUUAUGUCGGACUCCAACACACAAAUUAUAAGCCAAAAAGACAAACUUGUCAUAGUAUUUAAGCCAUGAGAGGUUCUUCUGUAAGGAAGAAGAUCACGGCACCCUUGUCCAACAUAAAGCAGCUCUAGUUAUACACUACUGAAAUAACUGAUGCAUUGAUCUCAACGAAAUCCAGAUCUUGACAUCACUUACCAAAAUUUGUCAUUUUGGUGUCAAUCAUCCAAACAUGUUUUCUUUGAUUCCUGGUCACACCGAAACCAGUUUAAUGAUGCACAUGUUUCAUUCAUUUCGAAAAAGAUAAUAUACCACAAGUUUCAUACCCCAUUUUUAGGUGGUUUAGCCCAUCUUUAGCAAAUACGGUUUCACUUUUUGUCCUCCAUUAAGAAAAAUAUGCAAGAUAAAUUUCUCUCAUCCAGUGCAUGCUUGGCAUUCUCACAAUGGAUCAGUGUUGCAUCCUACAUUUUCAGCUUUCUUAAAGGUUCUUCAGGUCAUAACUUCCAUUUUUUUUUCCAGUCAACAUUGACUUUCAAUCAGUGGAAUUCUCAAUCAUUUUUUGUUCAAACAAAGAAACUAAAUCACAAAUCAUUCGCCUUUUCGUUGAAGUUUUAGAUUUUGAUAAUUAGCAUUCUUGAAUUCACUUAAUCGUACCUUCUAAUUUGACAUAUUUUGAAGAUGCACCUUAACGGACAAAUCAUAAUAAGACAAAAGACUACAAUAAGAAGCCAAUGAUGUUUCAAUCAUCUGCCUGUAGAAGAUUCUAAUUGGUGAAGCAUAGCUAAUGUCAUUGUUUCCAGCAUUAUUCAAAUAAUGUCCUAUGAACUGGUUUUGUCCCAAGUUUCGGCUCACAACUACCUAGCCCAUAGCCUGCUAACAAUGACAAUAUAAGUUUAGCUAAAACACAGACAAAUUAUUUCUCCUUGGAACAAAUUAUAUCCUCUCAAAUAGGAGUAUCUCCAGACAACUCCCAACCCUAAAACUUUAAGAAGUGAUUCACUAGUCCUAAUCCUGAAAAAGAGGAAGGUGCAUGCCUCAUGCACUUGCUCAGCCCCAGAUUGUCCUGUAAUCAAACCCAGCCUGCAGCCUACUCAUACAAAAAUCCAUACCUGACCACAAUAUAGGCCAACUUAACGGAAGAACACAACUAAUAACAGAGCAGAAGAGAGAGAUGCAUACACUUGUUUCUUACAAAAUUUUGUAUUUUCACAAAAUAUUGCUUCAGCCAACAACUUAGGUAUCAAUUCUCGGUACUACUGCGUUUAGGUAUGUAAACCAUUUAGGAAUCCGACAUUUACCCAACAAUGUGGGUGGUCUCUCUUUCCAUGCACCACCAUACUAUCAAUAACACAUUUUGACACUUAGACAUCAAGCAACAACCUCAGAAUUUAAAAUAGAAGAUGCAACUCAGAUUACUGCAAAACCACACUCUACUGUUAAACUCCACUGUAACAUGGAAGAGUGACACCAGAAAUUUAGCAUUCAUGCAUGUUGUUAGGAACAAAAUCAAUCAUGACUCUGAUCUUCUCAAUCUAAUUCUUCCUCGGACCACAUUAAAAAUCCUAGUCUACCUUAGCCAAGACCAAUUGUCUGCAAUAUAAUAACUAGUACAAUCUUAACAUCAACCUAGUUGCACCGCAUAAAUCUACCCCUCAAAACCCCUCCUGAAUACAGUAUAUAUGAAUGACAAAGUGUGAACGUUGAUCUGGGUAAUUAUCUACACACUGUAUUUAAUUUUAAGGCAUUGGGAAAACAUGAAAUAAAUAUGGUGGAUGGUGCAAAUAUUAGUCUAAUUUUAAGAUCCUUAGGUUCUUCUCAGUAAGUGUUCAGCACGAGCUUAAAAUCUUAGAUCUAUAGUUCUUGAACCCCAACUAGUAAUAGAUUUCCCCGGCUCUCAAGAUCAUGACGUAACAUAUACUUAGGCCCUUAUUCUUUUCACCAGAUUGGACACAAGAUUCAAAGAAACAAACAACGUUAUACAGAUUCACAAACUGGGAGAAUAGUUCCAACCAUUGACUUUCGGAGGCUCAAAUUUGUUGACAAUAGAUAUGUAGUAGCAUCUUAACUAAAUGAUCAAUUUACCCAGCCAGAAAAGCCAAGUUGAAACAGAGAAAAGACUCAAGGUGGUCCAUCGUUCACAAGACCCUUAGGUUCUUCUGUCAAAUGUUCAGCACCAGCCUAAACUCCUGGAUCUAUAGUUCUUGAAUCGCAUUCAACGAUAGAUUUCCCCAUUUCUCAAGAUCAUGACAUACCAUAUGGUUAGACCCAUAUUCCUUGAUCAGAUUGGCACAGAAGAAUCAAGAAACUACACGAAUCGAUUUAAAAAAAAAAGCGUCGUACAGAUUUAUAAACUGGGAAUACAUCGUCAUGGCAGAAGAGAAUAAACUCCAAGAAAUAACAAGAACCAAGAAUAUGACCACAUAGCAUGGAAGAUUGGGUACCUCGUCCAGGUGUCCGGAUCGACCCAUUGGCGAUGGGGAGCCGCAUGGUGGGGGGAGAAACCCGAGACAUCUGCCUGCGAGAGAACCGACAUCCCCCCGCCCCCUUGCGCGGCAAGACCAGUGGAUCCGCGGUGGCGAUCGUACCCGGUUUCGCCCGCUCCUUCUUGGAUCCAAGGACGUCCGCAGAACUGCGAUCGAGGGAACUCGAAAGAGGGUUUCGAUCGAACAAACUUGGGUGGAUCGGAAAGCAACGAGGAGGGAAAAGGGAUGCAAACCGUUUAAAUCGUGACGACGCUAAUCUUUUUCCCUUCGAAUCCUCGUUUCUUUGCGUACGGAAAC